rnacentral:rRNA from 1 species
UGAGGAAUAUUGGUCAAUGGACGAGAGUCUGAACCAGCCAAGUAGCGUGCAGGAUGACGGCCCUAUGGGUUGUAAACUGCUUUUAGUUGGGAAUAAAAGGCGGCUCGUGAGCUGCGUAUUGUAUGUACCAUCAGAAAAAGGACCGGCUAAUUCCGUGCCAGCAGCCGCGGUAAUACGGAAGGUCCGGGCGUUAUCCGGAUUUAUUGGGUUUAAAGGGAGCGUAGGUGGACUAUUAAGUCAGUUGUGAAAACUGUCGGCUCAACCGGCAGCUUGCAGUUGAAACUGAUGGUCUUGAGUGCAGACAGAGGUGCUGGAAUUUAUGGUGUAGCGGUGAAAUGCUCAGAUAUCAUAAAGAACUCCGAUCGCGAAGGCAGGCACCUGGGCUGCUACUGACACUGAGGCUCGAAAGUGCGGGUAUC